AACGAACGCUGGCGGCGUGGAUAAGACAUGCAAGUCGAACGGGAUAUCAAGUUAGCAAUAAUGAGAUAUUUAGUGGCGAACGGGUGCGUAACACGUGGGAAUCUGCCGAGGAGUGGGGGAUAGCUCGCCGAAAGGCGAAUUAAUACCGCAUUAAAAGAGGGGGACCGCAAGGCCUCUCGCUUCUCGAUGAGCCCGCGGCC
rnacentral:rRNA from 1 species